UUAACUCAAAUUUGUAUGGAGUUGGAACGUUUGCCUACGUUUGCCGAUAGGAGCGCUGAUCCAACUGCAUUCAAUUUGAGUUA
rnacentral:pre_miRNA from 1 species